CGCGGCGUCGGCGGGUUCGGCGUCCACGCCGGAGGGCUCGGCGGCCAGGUCGUCGGCUGCCGGGCCGCCGCCGGGGCCUCCGGCCGCCUCGGC
rnacentral:tRNA from 1 species